ensembl:lncRNA KXD1-AS1 KXD1 antisense RNA 1
UCCCUUUUUAGUAAUGGUGUCUUUUUAUUGAUAACUUCCCAACAGCAUCUGUAAACAUCGGGUACAAAAAUAUUCCAUUAAACUCUUUCCCGAGGUGGCUCCGUUUGCUCCAUGGAGGCCUUCAGAGAGGCCUGCUGGCCCCUCAGGAAUUCCACACCCCUCGGGAGAGAGCCUUGUCCCCCUAGGAGCCCUGGGUGACAGAACGGGGCAGCAAAGGAGCCCUGGAUGACAGAACAAGGCAGGGUUACCCGCUGCCACCUUGUAUGCUGCUGCCCUGAGACCCCCUCAAGGCACCGGGCAGCAGGGCUAUUCGCCCGUCAUCUCCUCGUCAUCUGUCUGGCUGCGGCCGUUGAUGGCUGGGGAGCCAGGCUGGACAUGGGACAGGUCCUCGAAGCCGGGGCUCAGGGAGGGCGAGACGGUGUCGGGGCUGGU